rnacentral:rRNA from 1 species
GGAGCUUGCUCACUUUGACGUUAGCGGCGGACGGGUGAGUAACACGUGGGUAACCUACCUAUAAGACUGGGAUAACUUCGGGAAACCGGAGCUAAUACCGGAUAACAUUUGGAACCGCAUGGUUCUAAAGUGAAAGAUGGUUUUGCUAUCACUUAUAGAUGGACCCGCGCCGUAUUAGCUAGUUGGUAAGGUAACGGCUUACCAAGGCGACGAUACGUAGCCGACCUGAGAGGGUGAUCGGCCACACUGGAACUGAGACACGGUCCAGACUCCUACGGGAGGCAGCAGUAGGGAAUCUUCCGCAAUGGGCGAAAGCCUGACGGAGCAACGCCGCGUGAGUGAUGAAGGGUUUCGGCUCGUAAAACUCUGUUAUUAGGGAAGAACAAAUGUGUAAGUAACUGUGCACGUCUUGACGGUACCUAAUCAGAAAGCCACGGCUAACUACGUGCCAGCAGCCGCGGUAAUACGUAGGUGGCAAGCGUUAUCCGGAAUUAUUGGGCGUAAAGCGCGCGUAGGCGGUU